rnacentral:sRNA from 1 species
UACUGGUUCACCUUGAAAAGAUCGAAUG